UACGUAGGGGGCUAGCGUUGUCCGGAAUCAUUGGGCGUAAAGCGCGCGUAGGCGGCCCGGUAAGUCCGCUGUAAAAGUCAAAGGCUCAACCUUUGAAUGUCAGUGGAUACUGCCGGGCUAGAGUCCGGAAGAGGCGAGUGGAAUUCCUGGUGUAGCGGUGAAAUGCGUAGAUAUCGGGAGGAACACCAGUGGCGAAGGCGACUACCUGGCCUGUUCUUGACGCUGAGGCGCGAAAGCUAGGGGAGCAAACGGG
rnacentral:rRNA from 1 species